rnacentral:rRNA from 1 species
UACGGAGGGGGGCUAGCGUUGUUCGGAAUUACUGGGCGUAAAGCGCGCGUAGGCGGCUUGUAAGUUAGAGGUGAAAGCCCGGAGCUCAACUCCGGAAUUGCCUUUAAGACUGCAUCGCUAGAAUCAUGGAGAGGUUAGUGGAAUUCCGAGUGUAGAGGUGAAAUUCGUAGAUAUUCGGAAGAACACCAGUGGCGAAGGCGACUAACUGGACAUGUAUUGACGCUGAGGUGCGAAAGCGUGGGGAGCAAACAGG